rnacentral:rRNA from 1 species
UACGNGUAGGCAGCAGUAGGGAAUCUUUCACAAUGGGCGAAAGCCUGAUGGAGCAACGCCGCGUGCAGGAUGAAGGCCUUCGGGUUGUAAACUGCUUUUAUUUCCGAGAAAUAUGAUGGUAGGAUUUGAAUAAGGAUCGGCUAACUACGUGCCAGCAGCCGCGGUAAU